AUUGAACGCUGGCGGCAUGCCUUACACAUGCAAGUCGAACGGUAACAGGUCUUCGGAUGCUGACGAGUGGCGAACGGGUGAGUAAUACUUCGGAACGUGCCCGAUCGUGGGGGAUAACGGAGCGAAAGCUUUGCUAAUACCGCAUACGAUCUACGGAUGAAAGCAGGGGACCUCAAGGCUUUGCGCGGACGGUGCGGCCGCUGGCAGAUUAGUUAGUUGGUGGGUUAAAGGCUUACCAAGGCGACGAUCUGUAGCUGGACUGAGAGGAUGACCAGCCACACUGGGACUGAGACACGGCCCAGACUCCUACGGGAGGCAGCAGUGGGGAAUUUUGGACAAUGGGCGAAAGCCUGAUCCAGCCAUGCCGCGUGCAGGAUGAAGGCCUUCGGGUUGUAAACUGCUUUUGUACGGAACGAAAAGACUCUUUCUAAUAAAGAGGGUCCAUGACGGUACCGUAAGAAUAAGCACCGGCUAACUACGUG
rnacentral:rRNA from 1 species